rnacentral:misc_RNA from 1 species
GAAUUGCGAUAUGUAAUGUGAAUUGCAGAAUUCAGUGAAUCAUCGAAUCUUUGAACGCAUAUUGCACCCUCUGGUAUUCCGGAGGGUAUGCCUGUUUGAGUGUCAUUAAUCAUCUCAAGGCAAAAAGUCUUCUUUUUGCAAUUGGAUGUUGAAGGUCUUGCUGGCUUUCUUAGUUGGCUCCUUUUAAAUACAUUAGCAGGACGUUUAUGCAGGACUUGCUCCAGUUUGAUACAUUGCUAUCUGAGCUGUUGCGCCAGCAGUGUCAUUUGCUUCAAAUUGUCUUCGGACUUUUGUCAUCUUGACAAGAAACACCUUUGAACUUGACCUCAAAUCAGGUAGGACUACCCGCUGAACUUAA